rnacentral:rRNA from 1 species
AGUUCGGAUUGAAGGCUGAAAUUCGCCUUCAUGAAGCCGGAAUUGCUAGUAAUGGCAGGUCAGCAUACUGCCGUGAAUACGUUCCCGGGCCUUGUACACACCGCCCGUCACACCAUGAGAGUUGGGAAUACCCGAAGCCUGUGAGCUAACGUAAGGGGCAGCAGUCGAAGGUAGAAUCAAUGAUUGGGGUGAAGUCGUAACAAGGUAUC